UUAGUGGCAGACGGGUGAGUAACAUGUGGGUAUCUACCCUUUGGCCUGGAAUAACACGAGGAAACUUGUGCUAAUACCGGAUAAGUCUUUACGGAGAAAGCUUUAUGCACCAUUGGAUGAGCCCGCACUUGAUUAGUUUGUUGGUAGGGUAAUGGCCUACCAGGACUAUGAUCAAUAGCUGAUUUGAGAGGAUGAUCAGCCACAUUGGGACUGAGACACGGCCCAAACUCCUACGGGAGGCAGCAGUGGGGAAUCUUGCACAAUGGAGGAAACUCUGAUGCAGCGAUGCCGCGUGAGUGAAGAAGGCCUUUGGGUUGUAAAGCUCUUUCGUCGGGGAAGAAAAUGACUGUACCCGAAUAAGAAGGUCCGGCUAACUUCGUGCCAGCAGCCGCGGUAAUACGAAGGGACCUAGCGUAGUUCGGAAUUACUGGGCUUAAAGAGUUCGUAGGUGGUUGAAAAAGUUGGUGGUGAAAUCCCAGAGCUUAACUCUGGAACUGCCAUCAAAACUUUUCAGCUAGAGUAUGAUAGAGGAAAGCA
rnacentral:rRNA from 1 species